AAUAAUAACCUUUUGUUUGACUUAAAUUGUGUAAAAAUUCUGGGCUCACUGACUCCUUUCUUCUAGGACUCCCUAUGGUCAAGUUGCACAGUUCAUUGAAGAGGCAUCUGAGAAAGAAGUUAAAGCUCUGGGUCCUGAAGAGCAAAGCACAGUAAUAAAAGCAUCACUUUAGAAGAGGUAUCAGAAGUCAUCUUGGCCAUCCCUGUACUGCUUUCUGGCAGCACAGAGUAGUUGCUCAUUUUAAAAGACCCUCAUGGCUCAAACUCAUGACCUUCUCCGAGGUCCCUGAAUUCCUCCACAAUAGGAUACAUGGCGAGGAAACCUCA
ensembl:lncRNA